rnacentral:tRNA from 1 species
GGCACACUGGUGCAGUGGAUAGCACUGUCGCCUCACAGCAAGAAGGUCCUGGGUUCGAAUCCCAGAGGGCCU